AUUCCAGCUCCAAUAGCGUAUAUUAAAGUUGUUGCGGUUAAAAAGCUCGUAGUUGGAUUUCUGCCGAGGAUGACCGGUCCGCCCUGUGGGUGUGCAUCUGGCUCAGCCUUGGCAUCUUCCUGAAGAACGUAGCUGCACUUGACUGUGUGGUGCGGUAUUUAGGACAUUUACUUUGAGGAAAUUAGAGUGUUUCAAGCAAGCGCACGCUUUGAAUACAUUAGCAUGGAAUAAUAAGAUAGGACCUCGGUUCUAUUUUGUUGGUUUCUAGAGCUGAGGUAAUGAUUGAUAGGGAUAGUUGGGGGCACUCGUAUUUAACUGUCAGAGGUGAAAUUCUUGGAUUUAUGGAAGACGAACUACUGCGAAAGCAUUUACCAAGGAUGUUCUCAUUG
rnacentral:rRNA from 1 species